UUGCUAUGAUGAGUAUGAAAAGGUUAUGAGAGUUUUGAUGAAAUUCAUUCCUGAGCGGUUAUCUGAGCAA
rnacentral:snoRNA from 13 species